rnacentral:rRNA from 1 species
UUUAUGGAGAGUUUGAUCCUGGCUCAGGAUGAACGCUGGCGGCGUGCCUAAUACAUGCAAGUCGAGCGAACGGAUGAGAAGCUUGCUUCUCUGAUGUUAGCGGCGGACGGGUGAGUAACACGUGGAUAACCUACCUAUAAGACUGGGAUAACUUCGGGAAACCGGAGCUAAUACCGGAUAAUAUUUUGAGCCGCAUGGUUCAAAAGUGAAAGACGGUCUUGCUGUCACUUAUAGAUGGAUCCGCGCUGCAUUAGCUAGUUGGUAAGGUAACGGCUUACCAAGGCAACGAUGCAUAGCCGACCUGAGAG